rnacentral:rRNA from 1 species
CAGUCGCCACGGUAAUACAGAGGGUGCAAGCGUUAAUCGGAAUUACUGGGCGUAAAGCGCGCGUAGGUGGUUUGUUAAGUUGGAUGUGAAAGCCCCGGGCUCAACCUGGGAACUGCAUCCAAAACUGGCAAGCUAGAGUACGGUAGAGGGUGGUGGAAUUUCCUGUGUAGCGGUGAAAUGCGUAGAUAUAGGAAGGAACACCAGUGGCGAAGGCGACCACCUGGACUGAUACUGACACUGAGGUGCGAAAGCGUGGGGAGCAAACAGGAUUAGAUACCCCAGUAGUCCCUGUCUCUUAUAC